AGCAAUACAUUUUCUUCUUACCAAUCCCUACUUUACUGGAAAUCUACCUGAAUUGUUCAGUUUCUUGUGCUCAAUAGUACUACUACUAUGUAUAUGUCAACUUAUUAAGGUUUCGAGUUUCACCCACUACAAAUACUAAAUUGUCGGAAAGGGUUUGUGCCCAUGUUCUCUUAUCUGAUUUACAAAUCAUUGCCAAGGCAUGGAGUUUUAGCAAUAAACCAAUCAAAUAUAUAUAGCUUUCAUUUGAUGGAGUCACAUUUUCUCCUCUCCAAGUUACAAAACCUCCAUGCUCCUAAUCACCAACCCAAAUCUCCUCAUAUUCUUAACCCUCUUCCCAAAGUUUCAACUUUUGAUCAAAAUAAUCAAGACCAAUGCAGAAUCUGAAUUUGCUCAACUUUUCAAUAAAUUUCCCUGAUUUCCCUCAUUUGCAACUAUAACA
rnacentral:lncRNA from 1 species